rnacentral:rRNA from 1 species
AAGACCUUGCACUUUUGGAGCGGCCGAUGUCUGAUUAGCUAGUUGGUGGGGUAAUGGCCUACCAAAGCUUCGAUCAGUAGCUGGUCUGAGAGGACGGCCAGCCACACUGGGACUGAGACACGGCCCAGACUCCUACGGGAGGCAGCAGUGGGGAAUUUUGGACAAUGGGCGCAAGCCUGAUCCAGCCAUGCCGCGUGAGUGAAGAAGGCCUUCGGGUUGUAAAGCUCUUUCAGCCGGGAAGAAAAGGUUGCGAUUAAUAAUCGCAAUUUAUGACGGUACCGGAAGAAGAAGCACCGGCUAACUACGUGCCAGCAGCCGCGGUAAUACGUAGGGUGCGAGCGUUAAUCGGAAUUACUGGGCGUAAAGCGUGCGCAGGUGGUUUUGUAAGUCAGAUGUGAAAUCCCCGGGCUUAACCUGGGAACU